rnacentral:tRNA from 1 species
GCUGAGGUAGCUAAGCCCGGACUAAGGCGCCGGCCUUGAGAGUCGGUGGUGCUUUGCACCGCGGGAGUUCAAAUCUCCCCCUCAGCG